rnacentral:tRNA from 1 species
AGAGAUAUAGCUCAGUUGGUUUUGAGCAUCCCGUAAUGCAAUGUCGGGAGGGUCGUAGGUUCGAAUCCUACUAUCCCCACCA